UUCCAUGGUGUGGGCAAUCUAGAUUGUAUUCCUUGAAACGCUCCCAUGCCUCAAAAAUGGUUUCUUCUUGUUGCUGCUGAAAUUUGGUAAUUUUUCCUCUUAAGGCA
rnacentral:snoRNA from 1 species